AUUUUACAGGUCAUAUCUCCAUCAACCGAGGUGCUGUCAUCUCUGUGAACCCAUGCCUACGGCAGGCCUCUUAAAGCAGUCGGGCUCUCAACAAAUUCAGAAGGAAAAAAACUCUGCCACGGGAAGAAUACCUUACAUUGUUUGGGGUUCAAUUGCCUCAUUGACAAAAGAGAGGUUUGGAGGUUGGCCACAUCUUCUCUUUUGCAUGCUAAUAUUGGACGCUUUAUGGUCAGUUGUUAUUCUUUGAAUUCUGAUGGACCUACAAUGGCGAAUUUAAGUGGUCCAAGGAGAUUCCUUGUAGUUUACUUCACCUCUGCUUUUUCAAGUAACAACUCUUAAACUCAUUACAGUACCUUAUAAAUUGCUUGUUGUGCAAAGCACCUGCUGUUGGUGCAUUAGGUGCAAUCUUUGGAUUAGUAAGUCAUCUCGAACAUAUUCGCAAAAUAAGAUUAAUGUUCUUAAGAACCUGUUCCAACUAAAGAUUGUCCGCUUUUAAAAUCUAGGUUUUCUCUUUUUCGAUUUUUUUUUUGCUUGGGAAAUCAAUUGUUUGCUUUUAUCGCCCGAAGUUGUCUCAUUUGACAAUCUCUUGGCUAUCUAAGUUGGUUUUGUUGCGGUGUUUGUCUUAAGAUAGAGGUAUGAUCAGAGAUGCCCAAGAAGAUCUGCAGCACAUGGCACAAAUUAUUUUCCCAAACACGGUAUGAUUCAAAGCUUUUACAAUUCAAUGUUUGAGAUUUGGAGGAACCGUAUGAAGCCAUGUCAAUAAACCCGUCUUAUAUAUUUCGAAUGCAGUCCCUAAUGUUGAUGCCUUAGUAAGUCUUGAUUUAUUCAAGUUUCUGUUAUGUUACUGGUGUUAUACAAUGACUACUCUGAAAAAAGGUGUAGUUUCUACCGUCCGCAAGCAGACUUUUCUUAACGCAUCAAA